AAGGGUAUAGCUCAGUGGUAGAGAGAACGCUCAGCAUGCAUGAGGUCCUGGGUUCAAUCCCCAGUACCUCCA
rnacentral:tRNA from 1 species